UAAUAUUAAUGAUACUUCCCAAAAAAUAAAUAUAACAAUUAAAAAAUAGGAUGACUUUAUCUGUGUCACCUCUUCUCAGUUGGCAUGGAUAAUUGCGGAAAUUGAACCCACAGGUUGUAAAAACUGAAGGGGUCACCGAAUUGCUAGGGCAAUUGAUACACAUGAAGAUGAAUCUUAUUUCCCUUACAGUUUUUUUUUUUUUUCAGAUAAAAAUGUUAGUUGUAGAAAUGGGGUAAAAUAAAAAUCAUCCAUAGUAACAUCAUCUAGAAAUAACAAAUUAACUUUAUACUUCAGGUAACAAUUUUAUUUUUUCCUUCUGUCUUUAGAAGUGUGUAUUAAAAUUCACAUUCUAUAUACCUGGGUUUGUAAUUCAGUUUUUGCAGUAAGGAAAAUGGCAAAGCCAUGCAUCUUUCUGUGUUUGGUGAAGGAGUUUUUGCACUCGUGAUAAGUUUUUAUUGGUGUACAACUUUAAAAGACAUGACUUGCUUGUAAAAUAUUAUCCAAAAGUUUGGCUGUUUUUAAAAACGAAACAAAACGAAAUAAGUCAAACAAAACCCCAGAGAGUAAAGGGAAAAAGGAAUCCUCUAAGAAGUAGAAGAGAAGAAGUCAGCACCACCCCAAAGAACUCCUGGAGAAUGGCAUGACUUCAAUA
rnacentral:lncRNA from 1 species